CUCGCUUGAUUUUGCCAGUAGUCAUAUCCUUGUCUCAAAGAUUAAGCCAUGCAUGGCUAAGUACAUGCGGUAUUAAAGGGAAAGCGUGAAUGGCUCAUUAAAUCAGUUAAGGUUCCUUGGAUCGUACCUUACUACUUGGAAAACUGUGGCAAUUCUAGAGCUAAUACAUGCAGCAGAGCUCCGACCCUCUGACGACGAGUGCUUUUAUUAGACCAAAAACGAAUCGGGCCUUGUGUCCGUAUGAUGUGGUGACUAUGCAUAAGUUUGGGCUGGUUGCACGGGCUCGUCCCGGAGACGUAUCUUUCAAGUGUUUGCUUUAUCAACUUUCGAUGGUAGGUUACGCGCCUACAGUGUUCGUAACGGGUGACAGGGAAUCAGGGUUCGAUUCCGGAGAGGGAGCUUGAGAAACGGCCACGCAUCUAAGGAAUGCAGCAGGCACGCAAAUUAUCCACUCCCAGAACGGGGAGCAGUGACAAAAGUAACGAUGCGGGACUCUUUUGAGACCCUGUAAUUGGAAUGAGUACGCUCUAAAUCCUUUAACGAGGAUAAAUUGGAGUAUAAGUCUGGUGUCAGCAGUUGUGGCAAUUCCAGUUCCAAUAGCGUUAUACA
rnacentral:ncRNA from 1 species